rnacentral:lncRNA from 1 species
AUACAACGUCUUAAACAUUACAAAGGAAAGAAGAAAAAGAAAACGAAGAAGUAGAAGUUAUAGAGUCAUCUCUGGUUGAAGACGACCUGUUAGAUCUAAUCCGUUGCAAGCACCGUCUAUCAUAAAUAGUAGAUUGAACAUAACUCAAGAAAAUUGUUAAAAUCAGAUUCAACAUUAUCAAAACUUUCUUCCAACAAGUGAUAAAUAAAGUUGCCAAACUCAUCAAUCGUAGCUAUUUUUCUCAAUAACAAUCGG